ACGCGUAUACACCCUCUUCGGGGGUAGUGGCGCGGUACCGACGCCGACGUCGAGGUUGGGGUGGACGCACCGCAGGAGAGGGGCGCCAUUAUAUUUGCGCAGGGCCGUCCAAUAGGGCGCAGUAUCGUCCCGACCGUCGUCGCGUGCACACGCUCGUUUGUUGUCGCGCGCCCGGACUUGUCAAACGCGCGUCGAACCAUCAUCCCCCGUGAAUAUAUAUAUAUAUAUAUAUUCGCGUUCCCCAUCGAGGGUGACUCCACGCGAGAGUCUCUCCCGCGUUUCAUAUACAUAUAUCUUUCUCGAUUUUCUCUCUUUUUUUUUUCUCCCCAUCUCUCUCUCGCUCUACAACCCCCUCGGUGUUCUUCAUCCCCCUCCGAGCGUACCCUAUAUAUUCGCCCGCGAAUAUAUAAACAACAACAGAGAGCGCGAGUCCGACCACGCACGAGGAUCGUGUUGCGGAAAGUGUUGCGAAAGCUGCGAGAGAAAUCAAAACGAAAGAGCCAGAGAUCGAUCAGAGAAAACCAUAUCACACUUUAAGAGGAACUGUAUAUCUUGGUGAUCAAUAUAUUGUCUACAACACCUUUAUUAUUGUGCAUCGUAUCGUAUAAUGACCGUCUGGAUGAGAUUCGUCAGGAUCAAGCAAGGCGAUCAAUUUCAAUGGACCCAAUCAUAAAGCUUAGAACAUUACGGUCGAUGCGUCGCCAGAUUUGAGAGGAACGCCAAGACGAGAACGGAGAAGAAAGCCCCAACAAAAGGGGGCUCGAAAAGGGGCUUCGAUCGGCUCGACACCGAUGGAGCCGUCCUGAUGCGGACCGCGAAACUACGCGGGGAUUACCCGGCCCGUUCGUCGGACUAAUUCCACGGCAGAUCCCGGCGAUUUUGCGGAGCAGCGUGCCACGCCGCUCUCGCACAUCUCCCUCGACGGCGCGACAGACCCAGCCACUUCCACUUCCUCCACCCCACGUGGCCGCACCAUCACCUGAUAAGAUUUCCCUGAUCGCUGGAUACCCUGGCUAUUCUUUCUGUCGGACCCAUCGUAGGCUUUUCUACUAGCGAGUGAAUAUACACGCGAUUUAAAGGUGACAGAUCAUUUCGAGAUAAUAAUUAAUUUUUAGAUCGUUCUUCGAUAUUAUCCUAAAUUGAAUAUAUUGCAUAAAAUGGCAAAUUUUUAUCUUAUUGUAAUAAAUUAUAUAUACAAUA